rnacentral:rRNA from 1 species
AGUGAACGCUGGCGGUAGGCCCAACACAUGCAAGUCGAACGGCAGCACAGGAGAGCUUGCUCUCUGGGUGGCGAGUGGCGGACGGGUGAGGAAUACAUCGGAAUCUACUCUGUCGUGGGGGAUAACGUAGGGAAACUUACGCUAAUACCGCAUACGACCUACGGGUGAAAGCAGGGGAUCUUCGGACCUUGCGCGAUUGUAUGAGCCGAUGUCGGAUUAGCUAGUUGGCGGGGUAAAGGCCCACCAAGGCGACGAUCCGUAGCUGGUCUGAGAGGAUGAUCAGCCACACUGGAACUGAGACACGGUCCAGACUCCUACGGGAGGCAGCAGUGGGGAAUAUUGGACAAUGGGCGCAAGCCUGAUCCAGCCAUACCGCGUGGGUGAAGAAGGCCUUCGGGUUGUAAAGCCCUUUUGUUGGGAAAGAAAUCCAGCUGGCUAAUACCCGGUUGGGAUGACGGUACCCAAAGAAUAAGCACCGGCUAACUUCGUGCCAGCCGCCGCGGUAA